AGAGUUUGAUCCUGGCUCAGAUUGAACGCUGGCGGCAUGCUUACACAUGCAAGUCGAACGGUAGGGUAGCAAUACCUGAGAGUGGCGAACGGGUGAGUAAUGCAUCGGAACAUGCCUAUUUGUGGGGGAUAGCCCGGCGAAAGCCGGAUUAAUACCGCAUACGAUCCAAGGAUGAAAGCUGGGGACCGCAAGGCCUAGCGCAAAUAGAGUGGCCGAUGUCAGAUUAGCUAGUUGGUGGGGUAAAGGCCCACCAAGGCAACGAUCUGUAAGCCUGGGGUUUUGGAAAGAAAGAAACCCGAACCCCAAGCCCCACCACCUGGGGGAACCUUGAAGAACACCGGGGCCCCAGACUCCUACGGGAGGCAGCAGUGGGGAAUUUUGGACAAUGGGCGAAAGCCUGAUCAGCAUGCGGUGAGUAG
rnacentral:rRNA from 1 species